GCGGACGGGUGAGUAACACGUGGGUAACCUACCUAUAAGACUGGAAUAACUCCGGGAAACCGGGGCUAAUGCCGGAUAACAUAUCGAACCGCAUGGUUCGAUAGUGAAAGACGGUCUUGCUGUCACUUAUAGAUGGACCCGCGCCGUAUUAGCUAGUUGGUGAGGUAACGGCUCACCAAGGCGACGAUACGUAGCCGACCUGAGAGGGUGAUCGGCCACACUGGAACUGAGACACGGUCCAGACUCCUACGGGAGGCAGCAGUAGGGAAUCUUCCGCAAUGGGCGAAAGCCUGACGGAGCAACGCCGCGUGAGUGAUGAAGGUCUUCGGAUCGUAAAGCUCUGUUGUUAGGGAAGAACAAAUGUGUAAGUAACUGUGCACAUCUUGACGGUACCUAACCAGAAAGCCACGGCUAACUACGUGCCAGCAGCCGCGGUAAUACGUAGGUGGCAAGCGUUAUCCGGAAUUAUUGGGCGUAAAGCGCGCGUAGGCGGUUUUUUAAGUCUGAUGUGAAAGCCCACGGCUCAACCGUGGAGGGUCAUUGGAAACUGGAAAACUUGAGUGCAGAAGAGGAAAGUGGAAUUCCAUGUGUAGCGGUGAAAUGCGCAGAGAUAUGGAGGAACACCAGUGGCGAAGGCGGCUUUCUGGUCUGUAACUGACGCUGAUGUGCGAAAGCGUGGGGAUCAAACAGGAUUAGAUACCCUGGUAGUCCACGCCGUAAACGAUGAGUGCUAAGUGUUAGGGGGUUUCCGCCCCUUAGUGCUGCAGCUAACGCAUUAAGCACUCCGCCUGGGGAGUACGGUCGCAAGACUGAAACUCAAAGGAAUUGACGGGGACCCGCACAAGCGGUGGAGCAUGUGGUUUAAUUCGAAGCAACGCGAAGAACCUUACCAAAUCUUGACAUCUUUUGACCGCUCUAGAGAUAGAGUUUUCCUCUUCGGAGGACAAAAUGACAGGUGGUGCAUGGUUGUCGUC
rnacentral:rRNA from 1 species